UGAGGAACAUGACCUUCGGCGGGGGAUAGCCGGCCCAACGGCCGGGUAAUACCGCGUACGACCACAUGGGGACAUCCCUGAGUGGUGAAAGCAGCAAUGCGCCGAUGGAGUGCCUCGCGGCCUAUCAGCUAGUUGGUGUGGGUAAUGGCUCACCAAGGCUUCGACGGGUAGCCGGCCUGAGAGGGCGACCGGCCACACUGGGACUGAGAUACCGGCCCAGACUCCGUACGGGAGCAG
rnacentral:rRNA from 1 species